UUGCUCAUUUCUGCAGCACAUAUACUAAAAAUGGAAUGAUACAGAGAAGAUCAGCAUGGCCCCUAUGCAAGACUGAGACCCAUAUUUGUGAUGAAUUCCAUAUUUUU
ensembl:snRNA U6 U6 spliceosomal RNA